AAAUAAAAAUAAAACAAACCCCAUAUAUUCCCGAUAAUAUGGUUCGGGAGUCUCUACGAAGUGACCGUAAACCACUUCUCUAUGGACGGUGCAGCUUUCAUG
rfam:Oceanobacillus picturae, S1, WGS project CCAX01000000 data, contig: 000002